rnacentral:lncRNA from 1 species
AGCUCUCACCUUCCUUUCCUUUGUGUCCUCCUUCCAGGUCCUCUGUGUGUACCCUCACUGCAUCCAGCGGGGUGACCAUGCUCCACAUCUGCCAGGGUCACUUUUCCCUCCAAAGGAAAGGCCUCUCAGGAGCAGCAGACAGAAAACCAGCCCUGGAACUCUGCACUUUUUGGGAGGAAACCUGCACAAUAUGCUUUUCAAGUCUGCUGUUCCAGAAGAGCAACUGAACACGUGCUGAACUUUGAUCCUCUGUCAAGAAAUAAAGCUGAACUGAGGGGGAAAGGAGCAUUUAUUCCCAGCGGAUCAAGAGAGAAAGGCUGGAAUGAAGGAUUUUCUCCAAUGAUAGCACUCCCUGAGCAGCAAACCCCACCUCUGAGUUUCCAGUAAAUCUGCUGGGAUUACAAAGCAAACCAAUCCAGAAACGUCAAGGCAUAUUUACUGUCCUAUUAACCUGGUGCCCCAUUCCCUCUCUGGCACACACACUGGCAGCACACAAAGGUGUGUCCCAGUGCUGUGUGCUGGGGAGGGAGCAUGGCUGUGAGCCC